rnacentral:rRNA from 1 species
AUUGAACGCUGGCGGAAUGCUUUACACAUGCAAGUCGAACGGCAGCACGGACUUCGGUCUGGUGGCGAGUGGCGAACGGGUGAGUAAUGUAUCGGAACGUGCCCAGUCGUGGGGGAUAACGUAGUGAAAAUUACGCUAAUACCGCAUACGAUCUAUGGAUGAAAGCGGGGGAUCGCAAGACCUCGCGCGAUUGGAGCGGCCGAUGUCAGAUUAGGUAGUUGGUGGGGUAAAGGCCCACCAAGCCAACGAUCUGUAGCUGGUCUGAGAGGACGACCAGCCACACUGGAACUGAGACACGGUCCAGACUCCUACGGGAGGCAGCAGUGGGGAAUUUUGGACAAUGGGCGAAAGCCUGAUCCAGCCAUUCCGCGUGCAGGAUGAAGGCCCUCGGGUUGUAAACUGCUUUUGUACAGAACGAAAAGGUUUCUACUAAUACUAGGGGCUCAUGACGGUACUGUAAGAAUAAGCACUGGCUAACUACGUGCCAGCCGCCGCGGUAA